CCCAGUGAGAGGGGGGACCCUAAGGAUUAUAUAGUGCCAGGAAAACAAGUUUGUUUUUCUGACACUAUAGUGGUUUAACCCCUGCCACCUUUAAAUUUAAGUGCUUUGUAGUAGCUUUUUAUUCGGUUUUAAAAGGGUUCACAUAAGGUGUGUGACAGUACAAAUGUAUCAAUCCAGCUUCACAACUGAUCAUUCUGGAGAGGAAAAUUGUCCCUUAAACCCUUAAGGACCAAAC